rnacentral:lncRNA from 1 species
CACUGAGAUCAAGCUAGACCGGCAACCAAGCAAUCACCUCCUUAUAGUUCGAGAUAAGGGUACAAUCGACAUAGCCACCUAAGAGCCUCGACCGCAGACAACAUAGGCUCUCACUAACGCCAUAGUCAAGGAAGGACUCCACCCUAGGCAACAUCUCUCCUUGGCAUCGAGAUUCUUACACUACUCAGAAUGCCGAGGUGGAGAGGAGAUUUCAACAGAUGCAGCAGUA